GGAUGAUCUCUUUGUGAUCAACCGCCUAAAAACUGCUUGAUUGUUCUACAACUGCCCACUUUCCUCGUAAUGGCCAGCUUGUCAUGAAACUGCCUUUUUUAACUGCUGCCAUUACUCUUCGUCGUUCAACCGUUUUCGAUUGAAUUCCUUGAAUCGUGGAACGUGAUAGGGCUGCUUUAAUAACUGCUUUGAUAACUGCACUUCUUGAUAA
rnacentral:lncRNA from 1 species